rfam:Paenibacillus sp. TCA20 DNA, contig: PspTCA2nb22.
CACAUGCUGUAACCGCUCCGAUCGGGUAGAAGCAUUCUGCUUUUUGAGGCAGGAUCACCUGGAUUAGGCGAGUCUGAGACAUGAG